AUGAAGCUGGAAUUGCUAGUAAUGGCAGGUCAGCAUACUGCCGUGAAUACGUUCCCGGGCCUUGUACACACCGCCCGUCACACCAUGAGAGUUGGGAAUACCCGAAGCCUGUGAGCUAACUUAUAGAGGCAGNAGUCGAAGGUAGAAUCAAUGAUUGGGGUGAAGUCGUAACAAGGUAGC
rnacentral:rRNA from 1 species